GCCUAGGUAGCUCAGUCCAGAGCAUCAGACUCUUAAUCUGAGGGUCCAGGGUUCGAGCCCCUGCUUGGGCG